rnacentral:rRNA from 1 species
UACGUAGGGUGCGAGCGUUGUCCGGAAUUAUUGGGCGUAAAGGGCUCGUAGGCGGUUUGUCGCGUCGGGAGUGAAAACUCAGGGCUUAACCCUGAGCCUGCUUCGAUACGGGCAGACUAGAGGUAUGCAGGGGAGAACGGAAUUCCUGGUGUAGCGGUGAAAUGCGCAGAUAUCAGGAGGAACACCGGUGGCGAAGGCGGUCUCUGGGCAUUACCUGACGCUGAGGAGCGAAAGUGUGGGGAGCGAACAGG